AUCGACGCACGAUGCCCUUGCUUCUUCAGCCAACCACACCGCAUCUCCUCCAUCUCCUCCUUUGGGUAAGAAGAGGCUGCCUGUGUGGAUUGGAGUCAUCGCCGAGUCGCUAGAAGUGGCCCUCCUCCACUCUUACUCGAUCCCAUAUCUGGAUUCGGUGCUGCCUCCGGGUGUGUUAUCGACUAAUCGGUCGACAUGGUAAGGGGGAAGACGCAGAUGAGAAGGAUAGAGAAACUGGCCAGCCGGCAGGUGACCUUUUCCGAGCACCGGAGAGGCCUUCU